CCUACGGGAGGCAGCAGUCGGGAAUAUUGCGCAAUGGACGAAACUCUGACGCAGUGACGCCGCGUAUAGGAAGAAGGUUUUCGGAUUGUAAACCAUUGUCGUUAGGGAAGAUAAAAGACUGUAGCUAAGGAGGAAGCACCGGCUAACUAUGUGCCAGCAGCCGCGGUAAUACAUAGGGGGCAAGCGUUAUCCGGAUUUAUUGGGUGUAAAGGGUGCGUAGACGGAAGAACAAGUUGGUUGUGAAAUCCCUCGGCUCAACUGAGGAACUGCAACCAAAACUAUUCGCCUUGAGUGCAGGAGAGGAGAGUGGAAUUCCUAGUGUAGCGGUGAAAUGCGUAGAUAUUAGGAGGAACACCAGUGGCGAAGGCGACUUUCUGGACUAUAACUGACGCUGAGGCACGAAAGUGUGGGGAGCAAACAGGAUUAGAUACCCCGGUAGUC
rnacentral:rRNA from 1 species